UUAUAUUACAAAUAGGUCCAGAGGGGUUAGUCAUCUUGUCCAGAAUGGUGGAACCAGGUUAAGGAUCAGGCAGUCUGGGCUGGGCAUGGUGGCUCACAUCUGUGGUAGGCUUGAGGAUGAUACACACACACACACACGCAAUGCAAUUCUAUUAUUGCCCAAAGAAAAUAGACCCAUUAAGGAAGUCCAACUUCUGCUGCGUGGACCAGUGCUGCCACAUCACACAUAGACCAAAGGCUUAGGUUUUUGUGGUUUUGGUUAUUUAUUUUAUCUUUUUAUUUUAUUUUAU
rnacentral:lncRNA from 1 species